UCCUGGACAAGUGACGUCUCUCUCUCUCUCUUUUUUUCUUUUUUAGACGGAGCCUCACUCUCCCCCAGGCUGGAGUGCAAUGGCGCGAUCUCGGCUCACUGCAACCUCGGCUCACUGCAUCCUCGGCCUCCUGAGUAGCCGGGAUUACAGGAGCACGCCACCACUCCUGGCUAAUUUUUUUUUUUUUUUUUUUUUUUUUUUUGAGACGGAGUCUCGCUCUGUCACCCAGGCUGGAGUGCAGUGGCGCGAUCUCGGCUCACUGCAACCUCUGCCUCCCGGAUUCAAGCAAUUCUCCUGCGUCAGCCUCCCGUUUUUUUGUUUUUUUUUUGUAAGUAGAGACGGAGUUUCACCGUGUUGGCCAGGCUGGUGACAAGUGACAUCUAUGUUUGAGCCUCAGUUUCUCCCCUUUUAUAAACCAGGGAUAUAAUCGUACUCGUUCUUCGUCUUCCCGUUUUGCCCCGCUGUGUUAUUGGGAAGACGUAGUUAGAUGGCGAAUGGAAAACAUCAGGCCCUGGGCCUCAUGCUUAAGUGGUCAAUAUUUGGAGCGCUGUGAUUAUGAACCUUAUAUAUUACCUGGAAAAAGAGUAAGCUUUGCAUUGGGAUAUUCUGAAUAUAUAAUUAUCAUUGUAUUAUCGGUUUCCUCCACUUUCCUCUAGGUCUCAGCUCUGUAACAGUAGCUCUCGCUCUAGGAAACUCUCUCUGAGCCCUUUUCCUAUCCUCCCUUGCCCCCUCAGCUCCUCCACCCCAUCCCUGCUCACUUUGUGUCAUCACUGUCAGGGAUGGGUGUGUCUCCCCAACUGGGCAGGCUGACCUGGGACUGUUGUGGUCACUGCUGUAUCUCCAGCACUGCCCUGGGGAUGAUUGCCCUGGGGAUGAGGCUCUCUAGGUGCAGAAGAGACGGAGUCUCACUCUGCUGCCCAGGCUGGAGUGCAGUGGCACUAUCUCCGCCUCCAGGGUACAAGCAAUUCUCCUGCCUCAGCCUCCAGGUAACUGGGAUUACAGGCGCGGGCCACCCCUAGCUAAUUUUUGUGUUUUUAUUAGAGACAAGGUUUCACCAUGUUGGCCAGGCUGGUCUUGAACUCCUGACCUCAGAUGAUCUGCCCACCUCAGCCAACCAAAGUGCUGGGAUUACAGGCGUGCGCCACCACGCCGGCCCUAGAGGUUUGUCUUCUUGGGUCCCAGCCAAGAAGUACUGACUUGGGCACCAUUCUCCCUCUGCCACGGGACCAUUAUACACUGAUUGCAAUGGCACGUUUAAAGUGUCAGCCCAGGCCUGGUGCGGUGGUUCACACCCGUAAUCCCAACACUUUGGAAGGGCAAGGUGGGCAGAUCGCUUGAGCCCAGGAAUUGGAGACUAGCCUAGGCAACUUGACGAAACCCCGUCUCUACUAAAAAUACAAAAAAUUAGCCAGGUGUGGCAGUGGGCAUCCCUAGUCCCAACUACUUGGGAGGCUGAGAUGGGAGGAUCUCUUGAGCCCAAAAGGUCAAGGCUACAGUAAGCCAAGAUCUCACCACUGCACUUCAGCCUGGGCGACAGAGCAAGACCUUAUCUCAAAACAAAAUAAAUAAAAUAAAAAAUGUGUCAGUCCAGCAACUGUAAGGCAGGAAAAUAGGGAGGCAGGGAACAUAAGGCCAAUUCACUUCAGCUAUAACAGGAAACAUCCUCUCCGGUAGGCCAUAAAUGACUUUGUAACUUUUCUUCAUCCUCUCCAUUUACAUAGGGUGUACCAGAAGUAACCAGUGGAAGGGGAAUCCUCUAGGGGGAGUUUAAACUCCCAAAAAUUCUGUAACAGGGCUUUUGAACCCAUAUGCUUGGGCCCGCUCCCACUCUGUUUGGUGUAUGUUUCUUUUCAAUAAAUCCCUUCAUUCCUUC